rnacentral:rRNA from 1 species
AUUGAACGCUGGCGGCAGGCUUAACACAUGCAAGUCGAACGAGUGGCGGACGGGUGAGUAAUGCCUGGGAAACUGGCUGAUGGCGGGGGAUAACUACUGGAAACUGUAGCUAAUACCGCAUACCCUCGGAUGAGCCCAACGGGGAUUAGGUAGUUGGUGGGGUAAAGGCUCACCAGGGCGACGAUCCCUAGCUGGUCUGAGAGGAUGACCGGACACACUGGAACGGAGAACCGGCCCAGAUUCCUACGGGAGGCAGCAGUGGGGAAUAUUGCGCAAUGGGGGCAAUCCUGAGGCAGCCCGGCCGCGGGUAUGAAGCAGGCCUUCGGGUUGUAAAGUACUUUCAGCGGGGAGGCGGUACCCGCAGAAGAAGCACCGGCUAACUCCGUGCCAGCAGCCGCGGUAAUUC